rnacentral:misc_RNA from 1 species
AGCUAAGUAUUCCCAUUGAAGAUUACCUGCCUUCAAAAGGUCCAUAGAAAAUUUCCAGAAGAAUAAUGCAUCCUGUUCUGCUUGUUUGUAAAAACCCUGAUCUAUGGAACAAUGUGGUACCAGACCCAGAAAAGGUAGUUCUAAUAGAGAACUAUGCAUUCAAGAAAAAGCACUACACCGAGAGGCCGAUAAGAACAAAGCAAUUUUCAGAAAUUGGAAAAACAAGAUGCAUAAUACAAUAUUGUCUCAUUAGCAAUGUAUAUAAGAAACGAUGCACUAACAUAACCAUACCAUAUAUCCAAAUAGGACAGUAAGAAUGAAAAGAUAGAACUGAAAAAGAAACAAAAAAAUAGAAUAUAAGGCAGCAGCUUUCAUUUCUAUUCUAGUGAUAUGAAGGCCCAUUAGCCAAUUGUGGAGCUGAAUGAGA